ACCAUGCUCGUCGAGCGGUAGCACAGAGAGCUUGCUCUCGGGUGACGAGCGGCGGACGGGUGAGUAAUGUCUGGGAAACUGCCUGAUGGAGGGGGAUAACUACUGGAAACGGUAGCUAAUACCGCAUAACGUCGCAAGACCAAAGUGGGGGACCUUCGGGCCUCAUGCCAUCAGAUGUGCCCAGAUGGGAUUAGCUAGUAGGUGGGGUAACGGCUCACCUAGGCGACGAUCCCUAGCUGGUCUGAGAGGAUGACCAGCCACACUGGAACUGAGACACGGUCCAGACUCCUACGGGAGGCAGCAGUGGGGAAUAUUGCACAAUGGGCGCAAGCCUGAUGCAGCCAUGCCGCGUGUGUGAAGAAGGCCUUCGGGUUGUAAAGCACUUUCAGCGGGGAGGAAGGCGGUGAGGUUAAUAACCUCACCGAUUGACGUUACCCGCAGAAGAAGCACCGGCUAACUCCGUGCCAGCAGCCGCGGUAAUACGGAGGGUGCAAGCGUUAAUCGGAAUUACUGGGCGUAAAGCGCACGCAGGCGGUCUGUCAAGUCGGAUGUGAAAUCCCCGGGCUCAACCUGGGAACUGCAUUCGAAACUGGCAGGCUAGAGUCUUGUAGAGGGGGGUAGAAUUCCAGGUGUAGCGGUGAAAUGCGUAGAGAUCUGGAGGAAUACCGGUGGCGAAGGCGGCCCCCUGGACAAAGACUGACGCUCAGGUGCGAAAGCGUGGGGAGCAAACAGGAUUAGAUACCCUGGUAGUCCACGCUGUAAACGAUGUCGAUUUGGAGGUUGUGCCCUUGAGGCGUGGCUUCCGGAGCUAACGCGUUAAAUCGACCGCCUGGGGAGUACGGCCGCAAGGUUAAAACUCAAAUGAAUUGACGGGGGCCCGCACAAGCGGUGGAGCAUGUGGUUUAAUUCGAUGCAACGCGAAGAACCUUACCUGGUCUUGACAUCCACAGAACUUUCCAGAGAUGGAUUGGUGCCUUCGGGAACUGUGAGACAGGUGCUGCAUGGCUGUCGUCAGCUCGUGUUGUGAAAUGUUGGGUUAAGUCCCGCAACGAGCGCAACCCUUAUCCUUUGUUGCCAGCGGUCAGGCCGGGAACUCAAAGGAGACUGCCAGUGAUAAACUGGAGGAAGGUGGGGAUGACGUCAAGUCAUCAUGGCCCUUACGACCAGGGCUACACACGUGCUACAAUGGCAUAUACAAAGAGAAGCGACCUCGCGAGAGCAAGCGGACCUCAUAAAGUAUGUCGUAGUCCGGAUUGGAGUCUGCAACUCGACUCCAUGAAGUCGGAAUCGCUAGUAAUCGUAGAUCAGAAUGCUACGGUGAAUACGUUCCCGGGCCUUGUACACACCGCCCGUCACACCAUGGGAGUGGGUUGCAAAAGAAGUAGGUAGCUUAACCUUCGGGAGCGCAGCUAACCAUAGAG
rnacentral:rRNA from 1 species